UACGAAGGGUGCAAGCGUUACUCGGAAUUACUGGGCGUAAAGCGUGCGUAGGUGGUGAGUUAAGUCUGUCGUGAAAGCCCCGGGCUCAACCUGGGAAUGGCGAUGGAUACUGGCUCGCUAGAGUGCGGUAGAGGAGAGUGGAAUUCCCGGUGUAGCAGUGAAAUGCGCAGAUAUCAGGAGGAACACCAAUGGCGAAGGCAGCUCGCUGGGACGGUACUGACGCUGAGGCGCGAAAGCGUGGGGAGCAAACGGG
rnacentral:rRNA from 1 species